GAAUUGUACAGGUGAGUGAGUCAAGCAAUGGUAUUCCUCCAAACUCAUUCUCUCACAAGAAACAUCAAAUCCCCCUUUACUUCAUCUUCAUCAGCAUCACCAAUUGUUAACCACUCCAAACCUUUCUCUUCUGCUAACACAUCUAUUAGAGCUACAACAACAAAGAUGGAAAACACAGGAAUUGAGGGUUCAAAUGUAAAUGACAAUAAAAGGAAAAUAUUUGUGGCUGGGGCUACUGGAAGUACUGGUAAAAGAAUCGUUGAACAACUUUUAGCCAAGGGUUUUGCAGUUAAGGCUGGUGUUCGUGAUGUUGACAAAGCUAAGACUACUUUUUCAGAUAACCCAUUUCUCCAAAUCGUGAAGGCUGAUGUAACUGAGGGUUCAGCUAAGUUAGCUGAAGCUAUUGGUAAUGAUGCUGAGGCUGUUAUUUGUGCUACCGGAUUUCGUCCUUCAUUGGAUUUGUUUACUCCUUGGAAGGUCGAUAAUUUUGGCACAGUAAACCUUGUAGAUGCAUGCAAGAAAAGUAAUGUGAAUAGAUUUAUUCUCAUCAGUUCCAUUCUAGUCAAUGGUGCUGCAAUGGGACAAAUCUUUAAUCCAGCUUACCUAUUCCUAAACGUAUUUGGACUAACGUUGAUAGCCAAACUACAAGCGGAGAAUUAUAUCAGGAAAUCGGGUAUAAACUACACAAUUAUAAGGCCUGGUGGAUUGAAAAAUGACCCCCCAAGUGGAAAUUUAGUCAUGGAACCUGAGGAUACUCUGUCUACAGGUUCUGUAUCUAGAGAUCUGGUUGCAGAAGUAGCUGUUGAGGCAUUAGGCCACUCUGAAUCUUCUUACAAGGUAGUGGAGAUAGUUUCCCGUCUUGAAGCUCCAAAACGCUCAUUCGAAGACCUCUUUGGCUCUAUUAAACAACGCUAAGUUUGAAAAGACCAAGUGGCUUGACACAUGUGAAUGCAGUAGCGGGAUAACUGAAUACUACCCUGCCGCUGAUGGACAUGCCAAGGGGCUGGAUGCUGGAUGAAAGCUGUCAUCGAGUAUAAUAAGACUAUACGAUGAUCAUCUUUUUUGUUUUGGUUUUCUGUUUGGAUCGUGGUCGAGAGUGUAAGCCCUAAUUUAUUUUCUAAUGGAGCAGCAUAUCAGGUAAAAACAAAAUUAUGUUAGAAACCGAAACGAUAAAAAUCCUUUGAAUUGAGGAUAGCCACCAAGUUAAGCAACCUUCAAAUCAUUGAUUACAUAGAUGAAUUCAAAUUAUAGAAUAAAUUAAUAUAUUUAUAGAGAAAA